GAGGAAUAUUGGUCAAUGGGCGAGAGCCUGAACCAGCCAAGUAGCGUGCAGGAUGACGGCCCUAUGGGUUGUAAACUGCUUUUGUAUGGGGAUAAAGUUAGGGACGUGUCCCUAUUUGCAGGUACCAUACGAAUAAGGACCGGCUAAUUCCGUGCCAGCAGCCGCGGUAAUACGGAAGGUCCAGGCGUUAUCCGGAUUUAUUGGGUUUAAAGGGAGCGUAGGCCGGAGAUUAAGUGUGUUGUGAAAUGUAGACGCUCAACGUCUGACUUGCAGCGCAUACUGGUUUCCUUGAGUACGCACAACGUUGGCGGAAUUCGUCGUGUAGCGGUGAAAUGCUUAGAUAUGACGAAGAACUCCGAUUGCGAAGGCAGCUGACGGGAGCGCAACUGACGCUUAAGCUCGAAGGUGCGGGUAUCGAACAGGAUUAGAUACCCUGGUAGUCCGCACAGUAAACGAUGGAUGCCCGCUGUUGGUACCUGGUAUCAGCGGCUAAGCGAAAGCAUUAAGCAUCCCACCUGGGGAGUACGCCGGCAACGGUG
rnacentral:rRNA from 1 species